rnacentral:rRNA from 1 species
GACGAACGCUGGCGGCGUGCUUAACACAUGCAAGUCGAACGGUGAAGCGAGUGCUUGCACUCGUGGAUCAGUGGCGAACGGGUGAGUAACACGUGAGUAACCUGCCCAUCACUCUGGGAUAAGCACUGGAAACGGUGUCUAAUACUGGAUACGACCAACCCUUGCAUGGGGUGUUGGUGGAAAGAUUGAUCGGUGAUGGAUGGACUCGCGGCCUAUCAGCUUGUUGGCGGGGUAAUGGCCCACCAAGGCGACGACGGGUAGCCGGCCUGAGAGGGUGACCGGCCACACUGGGACUGAGACACGGCCCAGACUCCUACGGGAGGCAGCAGUGGGGAAUAUUGCACAAUGGGCGAAAGCCUGAUGCAGCGACGCCGCGUGAGGGAUGACGGCCUUCGGGUUGUAAACCUCUUUCAGCAGGGAAGAAGCGAAAGUGACGGUACCUGCAGAAGAAGCACCGGCUAACUACGUG